CUUGACUUCAGCCAAGCAGCUGAUGCAGACGAAGCCUCCGUUUGCAGGACUGGCAAAGUGCACGCUAAAGAAAGAAGGAAGAAAUUUUUCAAAAAGCAGCUCUGGGGAGGUUUCAUACUCCCCCCCCCCCCCCGCCUUUUUUUAAUUUUUAAGUGAAUAUUUUCCAAAUUUGAUCAGUUCCAGCCCCUCCCUCCACUCCCACCCAACUGCCCUUUUUUCUCUCGUCAAAGCAUAAGCUACAGAGUUACAGUCUCGAGAUUUGGUGUAUCGCUUCCUGCCCCCGCCUCCCCUCCCCGCCCCCGUUCUCCGUCCUCUAUUGAAACACCUCGCCCAGCCUAGCGCACUGAGAGCUCUCAUUUUCCCCCCUUGCUCGGGAUGGUGCCACAGGAGGCUGUGCGGGCCCCGCUCCGCUUCGAAUGGAUGUGACUGGAGUGAUUUGCACCCGGAUGCCUAGACUCGCCAUCUGCUCAAAGACUGCUCAGAAAGCCCUCCCAUGCAUUCCCCUGCUGCAUACCAGCCCACUCUGCCUGCAGCUGCUGUCUGCAGGACUUCAUAUCUAUGCCACACUGUGUAAAAGCUGUGCUUCAAGAAAUCACAAAAACAUUUUCCUGCACCUACUACACAGCCUGAGUGCGGCAUAAGUUGACCUUGCUUGCUAAGAAAUGGGGCAAGAAAUGCUUUUUUGUGUGUGUCAUGUCUGUUUGUUUUUCAAUUAAGAGAGGAAAGCAUUAGGCAGAUGGAAUGUACAUGUGAGGAUGAGGAGACAGAAAACAAGUAGCCCUUUCCAUCAAGAUAGAGGGUUUUCUGGGGUUGCUGGCUAUUGAAUGUCACUCCUGAUUUCUCUUUCCAAGGCACUGUACCACCAGCCUACUGAGAUUGUGUGGGAGCUUUCAUGGGGGUUGUAUUUCACUGAUGAAAAUAAAUUUUUUGCAUAAUGUGAA
rnacentral:lncRNA from 1 species